ACUCCUACGGGAGGCAGCAGUGGGAAUAUUGCACAAUGGGAAACCGUAGCAUGCAGCCAUGCCGCGUGUGUGAAGAAGGCCUUCGGGUUGUAAAGCACUUUCAGUAGGGAGGAAGGUAGUGUAGUUAACACCUGCAUUAUUUGACGUUACCUACAGAAGAAGCACCGGCUAACUCCGUGCCAGCAGCCGCGGUAAUACGGAGGGUGCGAGCGUUAAUCGGAAUUACUGGGCGUAAAGCGCAUGCAGGCGGCCUGUUAAGUCAGAUGUGAAAG
rnacentral:rRNA from 1 species